rnacentral:rRNA from 1 species
GGGGGGGGGGGGGGGCGGGGCUGGGGGGGGCGGGGCGGGGGGGCGGACGGGAAGCUUGCUGCUCUGAUGUUAGCGGCGGACGGGGGAGUAACACGUGGAUAACCUACCUAUAAGACUGGGAUAACUUCGGGAAACCGGAGCUAAUACCGGAUAAUAUUUUGAACCGCAUGGUUCAAAAGUGAAAGACGGUCUUGCUGUCACUUAUAGAUGGAUCCGCGCUGCAUUAGCUAGUUGGUAAGGUAACGGCUUACCAAGGCAACGAUGCAUAGCCGACCUGAGAGGGUGAUCGGCCACACUGGAACUGAGACACGGUCCAGACUCCUACGGGAGGCAGCAGUAGGGAAUCUUCCGCAAUGGGCGAAAGCCUGACGGAGCAACGCCGCGUGAGUGAUGAAGGUCUUCGGAUCGUAAAACUCUGUUAUUAGGGAAGAACAUAUGUGUAAGUAACUGUGCACAUCUUGACGGUACCUAAUCAGAAAGCCACGGCUAACUACGUG